AGAGGUUGUCCCAAGAGACAUGAGCAUGAAAGACAGAUUUAUAGAACAUUUUACAGCAGGACCAGUCAAGUUUCCAUCUGAAUGCAGGACACAUUUCCAUAGAAUUUAUCACAAUACAAGGGAAUGUUCCAGACCGUCAUAUUAUAAAAGAUGUGCACGAUUGCUAACAAGGCUAGUUAUGAGUCCCCUUUGCACACAAUCAUAGAAAUGCAUGUCCUGAGGAUAUAAACGAAGAAACUUCAGAGAUGUUGGAGUAAUUAAUUUUUUCCAAGGAAGUGCCUUCAAAUCACUGCAAUUAACUGUCAUUGUUUUCAUGUCAUUUCCAUUUACAAAGUAUAAUUGUUC